AUUGAACGCAGGCGGCAUGCCUUACACAUGCAAGUCGAACGGCAGCACGGGAGCUUGCUCCUGGUGGCGAGUGGCGAACGGGUGAGUAAUACAUCGGAACGUACCCUGAAGUGGGGGAUAACGUAGCGAAAGUUACGCUAAUACCGCAUAUUCUGUGAGCAGGAAAGAGGGGGAUCGCAAGACCUCUUGCUUUAGGAGCGGCCGAUGUCGGAUUAGCUAGUUGGUGAGGUAAAGGCUCACCAAGGCGACGAUCCGUAGCGGGUCUGAGAGGAUGAUCCGCCACACUGGGACUGAGACACGGCCCAGACUCCUACGGGAGGCAGCAGUGGGGAAUUUUGGACAAUGGGCGCAAGCCUGAUCCAGCCAUGCCGCGUGAGUGAAGAAGGCCU
rnacentral:rRNA from 1 species